GGCAGUUUGGCCGAGUGGUCUAAGGCGUCAGGUUUAGGUCCUGAUCUUUUCGAAGGCGUGGGUUCGAACCCCACAGCUGUCA
rfam:Pichia kudriavzevii strain SD108 contig03003, whole genome shotgun sequence.